rnacentral:rRNA from 1 species
ACUCAAAUGAAUAGACGGGGGCCCGCACAAGCGGCGGAGCAUGUGGCUUAAUCCGACGCGACGCGAAGAACCUUACCAGGGCUUGACAUGCGGGGUGAAGCCGUGGAAACACGGUCCUCCUUCGGGAGCCCGCACAGGUGCUGCAUGGCCGUCGUCAGCUCGUGCCGUGAGGUGUUGCCUUAAGUGGCGCAACGAGCGCAACCCCUUUCCCAUGUUGCCAGCGGGUCAUGCCGGGGACUCAUGGGAGACUGCCGGUGCCAAACCGGAGGAAGGUGGGGAUGAAGUCAGGUCGUCAUGGCCCUUAUGCCCUGGGCUGCACACAUGCUACAAUGCUUGCUACAAAGGGAAGCAAUUCCGUAAGGAGGAGCGAAUCCCAAAAAGGCAGGCUCAGUUCGGAUCGGGGUCUGCAACUCGACCCCGUGAAGUCGGAGUCGCUAGUAAUCGCAGAUCAGCAACGCUGCGGUGAAUACGUUCCCGGGCCUUGUACACACCGCCCGU